CCUAGUAGCCUAUAUAGUAUAUUUAUAAUUUAUAUUAUAAUAAAACUAGUCUUAAGCCUAGAACUAGAGAGAUCUAGAAUCUAGAUAUAUCUCUAGAUUCUUAGCAUUCUAGAUUAUCUAGAUAUCUAUUCUAAGUCUAGACCUAAUCUACUAUAUAGAUCUUAUAUAUAUCUGAAUGUUUAAAUCUGCUUUUUGUUGAAAACUAUCAUCUACUGUACGUAGAUGGCUCUUUAAGCUAAUUUCACAGUGGUUUUGUACUUAGUAAAGUAUGAAUAAAAUGCAAAGACAAAUUUUUUUUUUUAAUACAAAAUCUUAAUUUUCACUUAUUAUCCUUAUCACAGCCCAGAAUCGGCCCUGCGCUAUCUGUUUCACUUAUUAUCCUUAUCACAGCCCAGAAUCGGCCCUGCGCUAUCUGUUUCUCAUAGGGCCCCGCAAUCUAUAGGACCGGCCCUGUUAAAUUAUAACCAUAUUGUCAUAUAGAUUAGAUCUAUAUCUAAGACAGACUAGGCUAAGACUUAAAAGGGUGAUAAAAUCUCUAGAUUUUAUUCCCCUCUAAAGAAGCUAAUCGUCUGUGCUUGAACUAAAAAGCAUCUUGAAACAAGAAUACUUUCAAGUUUUCAUAUCGAAGACUGUUGAUAAAGAUGUUUUACUAGAAAUUAAUUUGAUGACAAUCACAAAUAAUCUGUCAGCAAGUAGAUUGCUCAUGAGUCAGUAGUAAAUGUCAAAGAAAACAAUCCAUGAUUUAACCAUGCUGAGCACUUGAUGGGCACUGGAGCAAUGGAAAGAUUUGUGCAGACUCCACCCUGUGGGUCAGUUCAUGAACAGAAUGAUAUACACAAAAUGUCAGGAGGCAGGAUUGGUGAAGUGGGAAAAUUAUCCAAGGAUCCUGACUGAUUACUGAUGCAUUCAUCUUCUAUAUCUCCAGGUAGCAAAAUCUGUUAUAUACUGUUUCGUUGGGUUGAUGUAUUUAAUGUGUAGCGUACUGUCCAUGGAUAGUAUAGUCGAGACGCAUAGUCGAUCAACUAAUUUAAGCAACACAAUUUUUAAGAACUCAAAAUGUAUCAAAAUAUAUCCAGCGUUACAAUUUGGCUAAAUAGAUGCACAAGAUAUUGCGGCCGUCUUUGAAAGUAGAAUGGUAUUCUCAAGCUGACACUCUGACAUCAAGAUUUGUUUUCAAGCUCUCUUUUGAACAAACGUAUUGGUUUUGUAAUAUCAGUUUAUAUCGCCAGUCACUGACAAUAAGAAAGGAAGACUAAUUUCGUUAAUCCUUUCAAUCCACGAAGAAAUGUUUGCAGACAAAAAAGAGCAAGACUUGGUGGAGAAAACUACGGAUGUCCAGGAUCGGUCAUUUGUCCACUCUGCAUCAGUCAAAUUAUUGUUUCAUCUAGUCUUAGUUCUGUUACUGACAGUUGUUGUUUUAUCAGUAUGUUGUCUGUUUCAACUGCAACGGCGAGUACAUAACUUGGAAACGUAUUUACUUGACCUAGAUCAUCGAAAUGCUCUAGCCGUAGCCAGAAAGAAUUAAGAUCUAGAUCUAGCAGCAGACCAGUCAGUACAGGACGGUGAAGUCAUUAAACAUAUAGAAAACAUUGAACCCGGGCAAAGAUUGUCCGAAAGUCAAUUCAAUUCUAAGAGUGGGAAGACUAAAUCUCGAGACACAACACAGGUCACUGAAUAGUUCUUUCAUAAAUUAACCAGAAAUGUAAGAAAUGCACAAAGUACUAACUGCAAAAUCAAUAUUCAAUAUGUAUUACAAAACUACUGCGAAGAAGUGAACAAAAAGCAAGUCCCUCCUAAAAAUAGUCCUCUUGGUAUCUUUAAUGUGAGCAAUGAAAGUGCUAUUACUCCACUGGUACAUGUAAACAACUGGAAGAGUGGGGAGUUUACUGUGGACAAAUCUGGCUUAUAUAGCGUACACUUUAAUAUUACUUUGAUAGACAAGUGAAGCAAUACAUAUAUCGGACUGUUUGUGAAUAAUAGAGCAAUGCUAGCCUGCCCUCCAGGAGGUUUCAUCUGUCCUUCUAACUAUUUUGACAGCAGCCGAUAUAGAAUAGUAACAUUCAAGGUGUUCUCACAUUGAGAAACGGAGAUGUCAUUGUUUUGAAGACAAUGGUUCCCGAUACAACAAUCCGCCUAGAAAGUGGAAAAGCCACACGUCUUUACUUUGUUUUACUCUCAGAAGACAAGCCUGAACAGGGAUCCUCAUAGAGUAACUGCAAGGUCCUAACCUCACUUGAACGUUGCAUGUGGCCCUUUAAUAAGAAAGCACAAAGCAAAUAAAAACAGCUAUGUAACAGAAGAAAACAAAAAAGCACAAACUUUUCUUAUUCGCUGAGAAUAUAAUUUCGUUUGAAAACUAGAUGAUCCACAAACUCGACAUUGAGAUUGACAAACAUCUAUCUAUAUCUGACCAUUUCAAUAAAGAUUUAAAAAAAAACA